CGCGAGACCGAGCCGGAGCUCGGCGCGACUGGUCGGGACGGUUAUUGGGCCUAAAGCGCCCGUAGCCGGCCUAGCAAGUCCCCUCCUAAAUACCCCGGCUCAACCGGGGAGGUGGAGGGGAUACUGCUAGGCUAGGGGCGGAGAGGCCGAGGGUACUCCCGGGUAAUGGAGGCAUGAGCCUUGCGCUCACCCUCCACCCCAUGGGCGAAAUCCUAUAAUCCCGGGAGGACCACCAGUGGCGAAGGC
rnacentral:rRNA from 1 species